rnacentral:rRNA from 1 species
UGAGUAACGCGUGAGUAACCUGGCUAUAAGAGGGGAAUAACAGUUAGAAAUGACUGCUAAUACCGCAUAAGCUGAUAAAGUCGCAUGAUUUAGUCAGAAAAGGAGCAAUCCGCUUAUAGAUGGGCUCGCGUCCGAUUAGCUAGUUGGUGGGGUAGAAGCCUACCAAGGCGACGAUCGGUAGCCGGACUGAGAGGUUGAACGGCCACAUUGGGACUGAGAUACGGCCCAGACUCCUACGGAAGGCAGCAG